AAACUUGACCAAAAGGGGAGAUACUAUGAUCACCGAGGUGUUACUCCUGGGGUGAGGCUCCUCCACUGCAGUCCACUUAUGCUUAUCCUUACUGUUUUCCUAAGUUCAGAAAACUGCAUAAUUUGCACUUGUGGGGGGCUGCGUUCCCCCUU
rnacentral:snRNA from 1 species